rnacentral:rRNA from 1 species
GACGAACGCUGGCGGCGUGCCUCAGACAUGCAAGUCGAACGCGAAAGUCCCCUUCGGGGGGCGAGUAGAGUGGCGCACGGGUGAGUAACACGUAGGUAAUCUACCUUUGGAUGGGGAAUAACAACCGGAAACGGUUGCUAAUACCGCAUAAUGCAGCGGCACCUAAUGGUGACAGUUGUUAAAGCGGGGGAUCGAAAGACCUCGCGUCUAAAGAGGAGCCUGCGGCGGAUUAGCUAGUUGGUAAGGUAANGGCUUACCAAGGCUACGAUCCGUAACCGGCCUGAGAGGGCGGUCGGUCACACUGACACUGAAUAACGGGUCAGACUCCUACGGGAGGCAGCAGUCGGGAAUUUUGGGCAAUGGGCGAAAGCCUGACCCAGCAACGCCGCGUGAAGGAUGAAGUAUUUCGGUAUGUAAACUUCGAAAGAAUAGGAAGAAUCAAUGACGGUACUAUUUAUAAGGUCC